rnacentral:lncRNA from 1 species
UUGCCUUUAAUUUGAGCGACCGUCGUAGAAUGAUCUUCUAUGUGUUCUUAUCUAAUGGUCUUGAAAUGUCUUUUGACAUAACAAUUCCAUAAAAGUUAAUUACUAAUGAUUUCCAGUUAUUUGUUACCAUCAUCAAAGAUGGAGAGAGAAGAUUCGCCCUAUUCUACUCUUGUGGAUGACUUUUCUUUCUCCCCCAACUUCACUUCAGUACGUGAAAUUUAUGCAUGAGAAAGAGUUAUGAUAAAGACGUAUAGUCCUUCUGUAGAAGGUGCCCGUGCUAUCGUGUGUAUGAAUGUUUCUUUCUUUCUGCUUAUUUCUCUGGAUCUUGUUGCCUAAUAAGCAAGUUUCCUC